GAUGAACGCUGGCGGCGUGCCUAAUACAUGCAAGUCGAGCGAACGGACGAGAAGCUUGCUUCUCUGAUGUUAGCGGCGGACGGGUGAGUAACACGUGGAUAACCUACCUAUAAUACUGGGAUAACUUCGGGAAACCGUAGCUAAUACCGUAUAAUAUUUUGAACCGCAUGGUUCAAAAGUGAAAGACGGUCUUGCUGUCACUUAUAGAUGGAUCCGCGCUGCAUUAUCUAGUUGGUAAGGUAACGGCUUACCAAGGCAACGAUGCGUGGCCGACCGCAGAGGGUGAUCGGCCACAUGGGAACUGGGACACGGUCCAGGCGCCUACGGGAGGCAGCAGUAGGGAAUCUUCGGCAAUGGGCGAAAGCCUGGCGGAGCAACGCCGCGUGAGAGGUGAAGGUCUUCGGAUCGUAAAAAUCUGUUAUUAGGGAAGAACAUAUGUGUAAGUAACUGUGGAGAGCUUGACGGUACCUAAUCAGAAAGCCACGGCUAACUACGUG
rnacentral:rRNA from 1 species